rnacentral:rRNA from 1 species
CCUACGGGGUGCAGCAGUGGGGGAUAUUGCACAAUGGGGGAAACCCUGAUGCAGCGACGCCGCGUGGGUGAAGAAGUAUUUCGGUAUGUAAAGCCCUAUCAGCAGGGAAGAAAGAAGACGGUACCUGACUAAGAAGCCCCGGCUAACUACGUGCCAGCAGCCGCGGUAAUACGUAGGGGGCGAGCGUUAUCCGGAUUCACUGGGUGUAAAGGGAGCGUAGACGGCCGUGCAAGCCAGGAGUGAAAGCCCGGGGCCCAACCCCGGGACUGCUCUUGGAACUGUGCGGCUGGAGUGCGGGAGGGGCAGGCGGAAUUCCUGGUGUAGCGGUGAAAUGCGUAGAUAUCAGGAGGAACACCGGCGGCGAAGGCGGCCUGCUGGACCGCGACUGACGUUGAGGCUCGAAAGCGUGGGGAGCGAACAGGAUUAGAUACCCCGGUAGUC